UGGCCAGAGAGCCACGGGCAAGGGGCUGAGCAGAGGGGGGUCCGAUGCCAGUUGCUUAAAAAUGCCCCUGUGGCAUCAAGAGGUGCCAGAACCGAGUCAACUUAGUUGAGAAGCAGUGACACCCACAACCAUACCCCAAAUAAGCUGAGCCUCCUCCGAAGAGUCCUCCCUGGGCCAGACAACAGCCAAGGCGAGAGUGAUGGCUAGUCAAGUCCUCCACUACGCUGGAGAAUGAGGAGCCCCAGAGAGAAAUCCUCCCGAGAACCAGAAAAACGGACAGCGGUGGCCACCUGCUCCCAGAUCUGAGCUUCCCAACAGACAGAAGCCAGAGAUUCCCCUAGCCUGGAGACAUUUUCUGAAGACGUAGGAAAAGGAGAAAAAGUGGGACACCCCCUGCAGCAGGCCUCCGAGAUGCCGAGCGCCAACGCCAAGUGCAAGCCCUGAGGAAAAGCUACCUACAGACAACCCUGAAGGUGUGUGUCUUCCAGCAUCAAGGCCACCACAGUCACCAUGAAGCAAAAAUCUUCCGGGGACCCUGGGAUCUUAUCAAGAGCAGGGUGAGUGGAUGGUUUGGGGUUGGGGUGCCCUGCUCACCUGGAAGUUCCCACACAAGCCACGCCCAUAGAAGAAAAUGAAUUCUCCACGUGGCCACUCAGUCAGCCACCACCACAUGUCUGAUAUGUCUGUUGUCGCGUGCAAGUCUUCAGCAGUUUCUAGGGACCCCACAUUAUAACAUAGGAGCCCUGGCCUCAGAGAACUGCAGAGGUAAGUGGGGAUGGCCCAGAGAGAGAAUGAGGUGGUUUGCAACUCAAGCAGUGUUCAACACGGCCCUGAUUUGGGAGCUGAGGAAAUCCAGCCAGCUCCCUUUCCUCGUGUAGGAAUUCUACCUCAAGAGUUGGGUAGAAACAGAGUUCACAGGGUGGACAAGAACAUGAAGGAGGUGUCCCGGGGUCUAAAGGAGUGAGAAUGGUUUCUCACAAGUAAUCCUUUGCCCAGAAUGCAUACAGAGAUGGGCGGGGAACAAGAGCAAGAAACCAGGAGGUAAGCGGACACAGAGGAGUGUGCAAGGCACAGGGUUCCAUUCCCAGCACUGCAGAGAAAAAAAAAAAACUAAUUGCACACUUUAAAUGGAUUGGCUCAACCUCAAGAAAGCUAACUUAAAAAGAAAAGGAAAGGAAGGUGGAAUUUCCAAUCGCAGAGGGCAAGGGAAGAGCAGGGUGGGAGGCAGACCACGACGCAGGCUCACACUUCUCCUCCUGCCCAGGAAGAAGGCCACAGCCCGAGCUCGCACGGAGCGCCUGUCUCUCAGCCUGAGGUGCAGUGCUGCAUCUCUGGUCAGUUGGGAGUCUGAGAUGAAGCACUGUAGCUCAGGAAGGGAGAAGUUGUUCUGCAGCCGUCUCCGGGACUUGGUAAGUGUUGACACGGUGGGGUAGCGGGUCCAACAGGUUGUCCCUAGACUCCACCCCAGCAGUCCGUAGUGAUGCUCCUGAGGUAAAGCCGCGACAGCACCGACUGCUCUGUAACAGUAGGCACUGGCCCAUUCGGUGGGGACCAGUACUGACACCUGCCUCCACUUUCUCUUCCUGAGCCCACAGAAGACACUGCUAACAAAUCAAGGCAUCUAUCCAUUCUGGGAGGGUUCCGACACACCCUCAGAAUCCUUCUCAACACUGCAGACACAGUUCCCCACCCUAAGUGAUCCUAGGCUGAACCCCAUUCAUCUCUCUAGGUCACCAGACAACCCCUAACCACUCUUCCAUCCUGGAGUUAGCCGCCCAGGGCCCUGGCUGACGCUGUCAUGUUGCAAUGUCAAAAUGUUGCGCAUCCCUGCUAGGCGUGGAGUCACGGUCUUCACAGUUCGGGCCUCUAACCCUGGCUCCGUGCUAUUGCCUAAAGCAGCCCAGGCAUUUCACAAAUGUGGACCCUGUCCCAGAGGCUUCCGAGAAGCAUGGGGGCAGCAAAGACGAUACAAAUGGGAUACGCCCAUUGGCAUUUAACCUCCCGCACCUGGUCAGAGGAAGGCGACCCACAGCACAGAAGAGAAAACUAAGUCUUAGUUAAGUAACUGGCCCUAGGUCCCAUACAGAUAUAUGAGCUGGGUCUACCUUCUUAUCCACUGCGAGACUAUGGGACCUGGAGCAAGAGAGUUGGAAAACAGAACAACCCGACUCUGGUCUUGUUUACUCCUGCUAUAGUAACAAAGGCAGAACCACACACAGGUCUAAGAGUCCCAUGGCCUCGCUUUCUUCACCCUGGCCCCUCACCCAGUAGAUCCUAUCUGAUGUCCCUUUACAACCAAGGCUCAGAGUUUAAGGGACCUGCUGGAGGUCAACCGGGAGAAAGUUGCCAGAGCCUGGGAACUGACUUUACCCAAACUGGUUUAAAUUCCCCCUCUUGACCUAUGGCAGUGGGGGGGAAGGGACUGGUCCCAGACGCUCUCUGGUUCUCUGAUCGAUUCUCAUGAACAUCAGCAGGCUUCCUUGACCCCAAGGGAGGUACUUUCCAAGCCUCUUCAAACUCUAGUCGCCCUUCCCAGGGCAGGAAGCUGCACCCUGAGAGUCGCUGCACCCUGGGAGUCACAGCACCCCACGCUGGCUGCCAGAGCAAGGGCUGGGCGCAGAGAAAACUGGUGGUCCCUAGGGGUGUGGCGGGUGCUGAAGGCCUCUCUCCCACCUUGUCCUCACGGUCCAGUUUUCCCAGGAAUCCCUUGGAUGCUAAGAUGGGGAUUCCUGGAAAUACUGUUCUUGAGGUCAUGGCUUAGCUGCUGGAUCUGCUCCUUCCCACCCUGGCAUUUCCUCUCUGGGAUGAGGGAGGAGAAGGCGGUACACUGGAGGUAAGCGGCCUCGGGAUAGCCCUUCUGACCUUUGCAUUGCUUUCCUUUUCACUGUGCCCGGAUUUCAUAACACCCCCGGGAGGCUGGAUGUGGGAACCUCAGAACUGCCUCGCUCUUGAGAAACUUGUCCCAGCGGUUGGAGCAGGACUCUGAGGCCGCGGUCCCUCCACUCUGACCCUCCAGGCCUUAUGGUAAGGAGGGACCGCAGGCCCAUAUCCACAUUAUUAAAAAAGUCAUACACAAAUUUAUUUUAAAAUUUAACUAAAUCAGUUAGGUAAACGAAAAACCAUUCAUCUCUGACGGGUUUGGAGUGCAACAGCCACAGAAAACUGAGCUUUGGGGAUAGCAAAUACAAGAUUUUGAGCGCCCCCUGGUGGUAUUUUUGCUCACUUCAGGAACACUGAUUUCCCUAUACACUGCGCAGGAAUCUCUCUGCUGCCUACCUUCCGGCUUGUACACACUCCUGCCAAAAUUCUUUCUGCCCAGUCACUUUUGAGCCACAGACAUGCUUAAGCCUUAUUUAUCCCUUGCCAUAGAUGCUUCUGCGGCUUACAGUUGGCUUUUCUUUAGGUCCAAACCAGGGCAAGUUCACCCAGACAGCAAAAAGCAGAGCCAGGAUAGGUUUAUAAGUUCCAUGGCCCCUAGCAUUGAACAUCUAAGCCGAAAGAGAAAGUAGGGCCAAGUAAUCCUCUCUUUUAGCUCCCUGCCCCCUAACUCUUGGGAGUUCUUUCUCGUUUUUCCUUAAUGAAUCUCUGUUGUGCUUUAAAAAAAAAUCUAGUUUGAGGCCAGCCAGGUCUACACAGUUGAGUUUCAGGACAGCCAGAGUCACAUGGUAUUCCAUGCCUCUUCAUAGUGAGAUCCUGUUUCAAAAAAAUAAUACAGAGCCAGAAUAUAGUUCAGUGGGUAGAGUGCCUGCCUGGAGUGCGUGAAUCCCUGGGUUCCGUGCCUGACACUCACACAAAUCAGGUCCAUAAUCCCGGCACAUGGCAGGUAGAGACAGGAGGAUCAGAAGGCUACAGCCAUCCCUGGCUAAACAGGGAGUGUGAGACCAGUCUGGGCUUUCAUGAGACCCUCCUGAGGGAAGGAAGGUGAAGCAAAAAGUACAAAAAUUUAAAAAUAGAAAGACCGUCCCCCCUCCAGGUGCAUUAUGGGAUGCUGAAUGUCCAAAUCCUUGAUGAUGUUUAGGUAUAGAACUAGAACUUGGGCUGGGGAGAGGAGAUGGCUCAUCAGUAAAGGCACUUGUCACCCAAAUCAAACCAAAACACCCACGUGACAGGAGGAGAAAACUGACUCCUGAACUGCCCUCUGACCUCCACGUGUGUGCCAUGCUGUGCGCAGCAAACUCCUCUGACAUCCACGUGCGUGCCGUGCUGUGCACAGCAAACUCCUCUGACAUCCACGUGCGUGCCGUGCUGUGCACAGCAAACUGGCACAAUCAUAAUUAAGAUAAAUGUGAAGGAAAAAACUAGAACUUUGGGAGUGAGGGGAAUGGCCCAGUCAGGCAAGUGCUGGGUGCAGAUGUCCAGCGCCUAUGCAGAAAGCCAGAUGUGGGGUCACAUUUAUAAUCCUGGUCCUAGAGGAUGAAGAGGAGAGACAAGAGGACCCUGGAGUUCUGCAGUCAGCCCAUCUGGCCAGAAUUGAUAGCUCCAGGUUUAGUGAGAAACAAUAUCUCAAAACCACAAGGUAGAGAGUGACAGAGGACACUAGUCCUGUGCACACAUUGGUGUGUACACACACACACACACACACCUUAGAACUCUCCUUUAACUGUCCCUGGUUAAAAGGACGGUUGGUGAGUUGGUAGAGGUAGCCAACUGCCAUCCCUCCACAGCCCGCAUUUUUGGGCAUAGCAUCAUAUCUCUCAAGACCAGGUAGCUCCCCGGGGCACACCAAGCUAUGCUCUAAGCAGGCAUCCAGAAGACAUUUCUGAAGAGAGACGCCCUCCUGCUCAUACCCUGAACCUGUUGCUGACCCCACAGUUACACACAUCCUGGCCCGGUCCUCUCGCCACCCAGUGACAUAGCACACAAGGAAACCAGGGCUACCAGAGGUUAAGACACCCUGGGGCCACACUCAGAAGUGGUGACAGUAGGAUUCAGCCAACGCUUACAGUCCCUCCAUCAUACUGUGCCCCACCAUUGGGCCUGGCCUCCUCGGGCUGCCCCCAGUGGCUUUCCCACUGGGGACGAACCUCAAGCCUUCCUCUUUGUGUUCUUCAAGCAUAAUAAAGUGCUAGACCUUU